GAUGAUGAGUGGGGUAUAAUUAAGUUCACUUUUCUCUGUUGCUUUUAGUUUCCCUGAAAAAAGCGAUUCAAUUUCAUUUAUCCGACUCAAAAUCGACUCAUGUAAUGGGUUCUUGAAUCAAGCUUCAAGCUUUGAAACCCUAGAUUUCAUUUAUCCGACUUCGAAAAUUUGCAAGCUUUUGUUGACCCACUAGUACAAAAUCUCUGCUUUGUGAUUUUCUUACAAGAAAAAAACAGAAUACUGACUGGUUUGUGAUUCCAAGCUUGGAGACUGUACAAGAGAAUGCUAAUGAUGAUUCAGAAGCUGAUACAUCUUCUCCUCAAUUCAGUGAUUAAAGCUGAAGAAAACAUCUACCUAGGACCACAUGGAGGAGCUUCUCCGUCGCAGCUACAAGACGGCAACGUAUCGAGCAGGAAGCAGCGGUUUAAGCAGAAGCUCAAGGAAGCAGACCAGAAAAUGAAUUUGUCUGGUCGGGAAAACAAAGUGGCUAACUUAAGGGAGCUUGUAGGCGGCGUUGAGAAAGGAACUAACGUGUCAAAAGGUGUCUCAAGAGACUGGCUUGACCCACAUUGCCAUGAGUCUGAGUUUGAGAAACGUCGACAACUGUAACGCCCUUUUUCUCUUUGUAAACGUUUUGUGUCAAUAUCCAGAGAUUUCAAUGCAAUUGAAACAGUUACCAUUAUCAUCAGCUAUCCUUUGAGCGAA